rnacentral:rRNA from 1 species
CCCGGGCCUUGUACACACCGCCCGUCACACCACGGGAGUCGAUUGUACCUGAAAUCGGUGGCUAACCUUCGGGAGGCAGCCGCUUAUGGUAUGGUCGGUAACUGGGGUG